AAGACCCCCCACACUGGGACUGAGACACGGCCCAGACUCCUACGGGAGGCAGCAGUGAGGAAUAUUGGUCAAUGGGCGGAAGCCUGAACCAGCCAUGCCGCGUGAAGGACUAAGGCCCUACGGGUCGUAAACUUCUUUAGACGCAGAGCAAUAAGGUCCACGAGUGGACCGAUGAGAGUAUGCGUAGAAUAAGCAUCGGCUAACUCCGUGCCAGCAGCCGCGGUAAUACGGGGGAUGCGAGCGUUAUCCGGAUUCAUUGGGUUUAAAGGGUGCGUAGGCGGCCGAGUAAGUCAGCGGUGAAAGACCGGGGCUCAACCCUGGAAGUGCCGUUGAUACUGUUUGGCUGGAGUGAUCCCGCCGCGGGAGGAAUGAGUGGUGUAGCGGUGAAAUGCAUAGAUAUCACUCAGAACACCGAUUGCGAAGGCAUCUCGCGAGGGGUCAAUUGACGCUGAGGCCAGAAA
rnacentral:rRNA from 1 species